rnacentral:RNase_P_RNA from 1 species
CGCGCCGGUCGGCGUAUCGCUCCUCUCUUCCAAAAGCGCCAGCUUUUGGAGGCGGUGAGGAAAGUCCGAACGCCACAGGGCGCCGUGCUUCCUAACGGGAAGGCGUUUGUGCUCGGAAGCGUGCUUUCGAGCAGAAGCGACGGCUCGUGCCACAGAAAGCAGACCGCCGAUGACCCGCACAAAUGGCAACGGUUCGCGGGUACAGGCAAGGGUGCAAGGGUGCGGUAAGAGCGCACCGGCGCCUGCGGCGACGCAGGCGGCCCGGCCAACCCCACGGGGCGCAAGGCCCAGCAGCGUUGCACCGGCCCCGCUCACUGCGAGCGGAACGCCGGAUGCCGCGGCCCGCCAAAACGCUGGUUUCCAGCGUUGCAACGCGGGUAGGCCGCUCGAGGCGACCGGCGACGGUCGUCCAUAGAUAGAUGAUCGCGCUCCCCGCACCCGGCGACUACGGCGGCGCCGGCGCGGGCAGACCGAAUUCGGCUUACAGACCGGCACGCCCC